rnacentral:rRNA from 1 species
AUACGUAGGGUGCGAGCGUUGUCCGGAAUUACUGGGCGUAAAGAGCUCGUAGGUGGUUUGUCGCGUCGUCUGUGAAAUUCCGGGGCUUAACUCCGGGCGUGCAGGCGAUACGGGCAUAACUUGAGUACUGUAGGGGAGACUGGAAUUCCUGGUGUAGCGGUGAAAUGCGCAGAUAUCAGGAGGAACACCGGUGGUGAAGGCGGGUCGCUGGGCAGUAACUGACGUUGAGGAGCGAAAGCAUGGGUAGCGAACAGGAUUAGAUUCCCUGGUAGUCCAUGCCGUAAACGGUGGGCGCUAGGUGUAGGGGUCUUCCACGACUUCUGUGCCGUAGCUAACGCAUUAAGCGCCCCGCCUGGGGAGUACGGCCGCAAGGCUAAAACUUAAAUGAAUUGGCGGGG